rnacentral:rRNA from 1 species
CGUUCCCGGGCCUUGUACACACCGCCCGCCACACCAUGGAAGCCGGUAACACCCGAAGCCGGUGGCCUAACCCGCAAGGGAGGGAGCCGUCGAAGGUGGGAUUGGUGACUGGGGUG